rnacentral:rRNA from 1 species
AUUGAACGCUGGCGGCAGGCCUAACACAUGCAAGUCGAACGAGCGGCGGACGGGUGAGUAAUGUCUGGGAAUCUGCCCGAUGGAGGGGGAUAACUACUGGAAACGGUAGCUAAUACCGCAUACCAUCGGAUGUGCCCAGAUGGGAUUAGCUAGUAGGUGGGGUAAAGGCUCACCUAGGCGACGAUCCCUAGCUGGUCUGAGAGGAUGACCAGCCACACUGGAACUGAGACACGGUCCAGACUCCUACGGGAGGCAGCAGUGGGGAAUAUUGCACAAUGGGCGCAAGCCUGAUGCAGCCAUGCCUCGUGUAUGAAGAAGGCCUUCGGGUUGUAAAGUACUUUCAGCGAGGAGGCGUUACCCGCAGAAGAAGCACCGGCUAACUCCGUGCCAGCAGCCGCGGUAAUAC